rnacentral:rRNA from 1 species
GAUGAACGCUGGCGGCGUGCCUAAUACAUGCAAGUCGAGCGAACAGACGAGGAGCUUGCUCCUCUGACGUUAGCGGCGGACGGGUGAGUAACACGUGGAUAACCUACCUAUAAGACUGGGAUAACUUCGGGAAACCGGAGCUAAUACCGGAUAAUAUAUUGAACCGCAUGGUUCAAUAGUGAAAGACGGUUUUGCUGUCUCUUAUAGAUGGAUCCGCGCCGCAUUAGCUAGUUGGUAAGGUAACGGCUUACCAAGACAACGAUGCGUAGCCGACCUGAGAGGGUGAUCGGCCACACUGGAACUGAGACACGGUCCAGACUCCUACGGGAGGCAGCAGUAGGGAAUCUUCCGCAAUGGGCGAAAGCCUGACGGAGCAACGCCGCGUGAGUGAUGAAGGUCUUCGGAUCGUAAAACUCUGUUAUUAGGGAAGAACAAAUGUGUAAGUAACUAUGCACGUCUUGACGGUACCUAAUCAGAAAGCCACGGCUAACUACGUG